UACGUAGGUGACAAGCGUUGUUCGGAAUUACUGGGCGUAAAGGGCGCGUAGGCGGCCUUCUAAGUCGAACGUGAAAUCCCCGGGCUCAACCCGGGAACUGCGUCCGAUACUGGAAGGCUUGAAUCCGGGAGAGGGAUGCGGAAUUCCAGGUGUAGCGGUGAAAUGACGUAGAUAUCUGGAGGAACACCGGUGGCGAAGGCGGCAUCCUGGACCGGUAUUGACGCUGAGGCGCGAAAGCCAGGGGAGCAAAGCGGGG
rnacentral:rRNA from 1 species